GGCCCGCACAAGCGGCGGAGCAUGUUGCUUAAUUCGAUGCAACGCGAAGAACCUUACCAGGGUUUGACAUCCUGCGAAUCUCUUGGAAACGAGAGAGUGCCUUCGGGAACGCAGUGACAGGUGGUGCAUGGCUGUCGUCAGCUCGUGUCGUGAGAUGUUGGGUUAAGUCCCGCAACGAGCGCAACCCACGUCUUUAGUUGCCAGCAUUUAGUUGGGCACUCUAGAGAGACCGCCGGUGAUAAACCGGAGAAGGUGUGGAUGACGUCAAGUCAUCAUGCCCCUUACAUCUGGGCUACACACGUACUACAAUGCUACGGACAAAGAGCAGCAAGUUCGCGAGGACAAGCAAAUCUCAUAAACCGUGGCUCAGUUCAGA
rnacentral:rRNA from 1 species